UACGGAGGGUGCAAGCAUUGAUCGGAAUUACUGGGCGUAAAGGGCGCGCAGGCGGUCGGGAAAGUCAGAUGUGAAAUUCCGGGGCUCAACCCCGGAGCUGCAUUUGAAACUUCCUGGCUAGAGUUCAGUUAGGGAAAACGGAAUUCCACGUGUAGCGGUGAAAUGCGUAGAUAUGUGGAAGAACACCGGUGGUGAAGACGGUUUUCUGGGCUGAUACUGACGCUGAGGCGCGAAAGCAAGGGGAGCAAACAGG
rnacentral:rRNA from 1 species